rnacentral:lncRNA from 1 species
CCUACCUCAGCCAUGUGAAUUAGGCAGAAGAGGGGUGUGUGUCUGUGUGUGUGUGUGCGUGUCCUUAUCAUUGUGUCUGAGAAAUUCAUCUGCCCCCAUUUUUGUGUCUAUGCCUGACUGUGUUUUUGUAUCUCUUAGAUUGGAGUUGGUUUGUUUUAUAAUUUUUAAAAUAUCCUCAGGGGAAUGGGGACCUGGCAAGGUACAAUGACCCUUUUCUACUCCCUGGAACAAGCAGUUUCCUUUAAGGAAGGUACUUUUCCGGAAAACAUGUUAUUUCAAGGCCUCCUAGAUUCCAGAAUCCAGCCUGUCCCAGCAAGAAACGCCACCCUGGUUUCAGGUCCAGGAAUGCAGAGAAAGAGCAGGGCGAGGGUUGGAGGUGGUGGGGAGGAGGGCAGGCGGAGCGGGGCGGGCCUCUUUCCCUUGACCGCUCCUGACAGCUGGGUUCCCAGGAUCUUCACUCUAACACGUCCUCUAGACAAGCCAGGAUGGAAUUCUUACCUUCUCCGUACAGCCAGGGAAACUGAGGCCCAGCAACUGAGUGGCAGAAGUGGGGCUCGGAUUAGCCUUUCCACGUCCCAGUCGGGCUAGACAGAACUGAGCAGGGUUCUCCCUGCCCUUUGCCCCAUGUGGAGCUGAGAGAAGCCCCAGGAAGUGAAAGAGAAGCAAGACUCAUUGCUCAGAGAGGCACGGCCUGUAUCUCUGCAGGUGCAAAGCCUUAGGAAGGCCUUAAGCGG